rnacentral:rRNA from 1 species
UCUAAUACCGGAUACGACCUGCSGMGGCAUSKCKGUGGGUGGAAAGCUCCGGCGGUGCAGGAUGAGCCCGCGGCCUAUCAGCUUGUUGGUGGGGUGAUGGCCUACCAAGGCGACGACGGG